ensembl:lncRNA
CAUGCAGAAGCAUGCAGAGCUGUGCAAUUCCAUGCAGAGCUGUGCAGACCCAUGCAGUGCCAUGCAAUUCCAUGCAGAGCCGUGCAGAGCCAUGCAGAGCCAUGCAAUUCCGUGCAGAGCCGUGCAGACCCUUGCAGAGCCAUACAAUUCCGUGCAGAGCUGUGCAGACCGUUGCAGAGCCAUGCAAUUCCGUGCAGAGCCAUGCAGAGCCGUGCAGAGCUGUGCAGAGCCGUGCAGUGCCAUGCAGAGCAUUGCAGAGCAAUGCAAAGCCAUGCAAUUCCAUGCAGAAGCAUGCAGAGCAGUGCAAAUUCCAUGCAGAGCAAUGCAGAGUUUUGUAGGGCCGUGCAAUUCCAUGCAGAGCUGUGCAGAACCAUGCAGUGCCAUGCAGAGCCGUGCAAUUCCACGCACAAGUGUGCAGAGCCAUGCUCACAGGGUUUUGCACACUGAUGCGUGCACAAAUGCAUGCAUGGCUCCAUGCACGAGCACCUGCAUGGCUGUGUGCAUCAGCACGCAUGCAAAUACUCGCACAAUCAAGAUGCUCACAGGGUUUUGCACACUGAUGCAUGCACGGAUGCAUGCACAGCUCCAUGCACAUGGCUCCAUGCACAACUGCGUGCACCAGCAUGCACGCAGCUAGCUGCAUGAGCACAUGCACCAGUGCUCACACACAGCUUUGCACACUGAUACAUGCAAAAAAACGCGUGCAUGGCUCCAUGCACGAGCACCUGCAUGGCUGUGUGCAUCAGCAUGCAUGCAAAUACUCCCACAAUCAAGAUGCUCACAGGGUUUUGCACACUGCUACAUGCACAGAUGCAUGCAUGGCUCCAUGCACGAGCACCUGCAUGGCUGUGUGCAUCAGUGUGCAUGGUGCCAACAUGGAUUUGCACGCUCCUACAUGCACAGAUGCAUGCACAGCUCCAUGCACGUGGCUCCAUGCACGGCUGUGUGCAUCAGCAUGCAUGCAAAUACUCCCACAAUCAAGAUGCUCACAGGGUUUUGCACACUGCUACACGCACAGAUGCAUGCAUGGCUCCAUGCAAGUGGCUCCAUGCACGGCUGUGUGCAUCAGCAUGCAUGCAAAUACUCGCACAACCAAGAUGCUCACCACACUGAUGCAUGCAAAAACGGCAUGCUUGGCUCCAUGCACGAGCACCUGCAUGGCUGUGUGCAUCAGCAUGCAUGCAAAUACAUGCACCAUCAAGAUGCUCACAGGGUUUUGCACACUGCUACAUCCACGGCUCCAUGCACAGAUGCAUGCACGGCUGUGUGCAUCAGCAUGCAUGCAAAUACUCCCACAAUCAGGAUGCUCACAGGGUUUUGCACGCUGCUACAUGCACAGAUGCAUGCAUGGCUCCAUGCACAGAUGCAUGCAUGGCUGUGUGCAUCAGCAUGCAUGCAAAUACUUACACAAUCAAGGUGCUCACAGGGUUUUGCACGCUGCUACACGCACAGAUGCAUGCAUGGCUCCAUGCACGAGCACCUGCAUGGCUGCCUGAGCACAGACGCUCACACAUUUUUGCACGCAGACCCAUGCACACUGGUGCAGGCAGGUUUGCAAGCGCUGCCCCGUGCAGCCCCCCAACGCAGCUCUCCCUGCAGGCAUUGAAUGCCCCCGUGGCGCGCGCAACCUUCCAGGCAUGGUGCAAGAAGGGGAGCCUUUCAGCGAGGAAGCAACGCAGUUCACCAAGGAGCUGGUGCUGCAACGGGAGGUAGGGAUGGCAGCCUGCAUGCAUGCGAGGUCGCAGCGUUGCAGAACGUUGCAGAGCCCCUGGGAGGGGCAGGGGGGGGAGGGGAUUGCAUUUGUUGCAUUGUUUUUUGAGGAGGGGGGGGGAGAGGGGAUGCAGAGCAGCUGCAGGGGUUGCAAGGAGGGACGCGGGCUGCAAUGCAGUGGGGACAAGCAGGGGGGGUUGCAGCUGGUGCAGGGUGGUUGCAUUAAGGAUGCGCACAGCAGGUGCAGCGUGGUUGCAUUGAAAGAUGCCCAUUGGUUGCAUUAAAGGACGCUCAGGGAAUGCACAGUGGUUGCAAAGUGGUUGCUUUCAGGUUGCACACAGCAGGUGCAGAAUGGUUGCAUGAAAGGAUGCACAGCAGCUGCAUGAUGGUUGCAUUAAAGGACGCUCAGGGAAUGCACAGUGGUUGCAUUCAGGUUGCACACAGCAGGUGCAGAAUGGUUGCAUGAAAGGAUGCGCAGUGGCUGCAUUCAGGAUGCAGAGUGGUUGCAUUAAGGGAUGCACAGUGGUUGCACAGUGGUUGCAUUCAGGAUGCACACAGCAGGCGCAGAGUGGUUGCAUGAAAGGAUGCACAACAGAUGCACGGUG